rnacentral:rRNA from 1 species
CCCUUUGAUACUCUGGGCGGCACGCGCGCUACACUGGUUUAUAUAACGUGUAAUUUGGACGAUAGUCUGUAUAAAUCACUAAUAUAAAACCGUGAAUGGGAUAGUUUAUUGCAACUUACAAACUUUAACUAGGAAUCCCUUGUAGAAGUAGUGAAUUAUACUGCUUCGAAUACGUCCCUGCCGAUUGUACACACCGCCCGUCGUUUCUUCCGACUGGUACUCAUUGUGAAUUGCGAGGAGAUUCUGUCAAAUCGUUGUAAAUGCUGGGUAUUGUUGGAAGAAAAAGUCGUAACA